GAUGAACGCUGGCGGCGUGCUUAACACAUGCAAGUCGAACGAAGCACUUUAUUUGAUUUCCUUCGGGACUGAUUAUUUUGUGACUGAGUGGCGGACGGGUGAGUAACGCGUGGGUAACCUGCCUUGUACAGGGGGAUAACAGUUGGAAACGGCUGCUAAUACCGCAUAAGCGCCCAGCAUCGCAUGAUGCAGUGUGAAAACCUCCGGUGGUAUAAGAUGGACCCGCGUUGGAUUAGCUAGGUGGUGAGGUAACGGCCCACCAAUGCGACGAGCCAUAGCCGAGCGGGGAGGGGCACCGGCCACAAUGGGACUGGGACACGGCCCAAACUCCUACGGGAGGCAGGAGUGGGGAAUAUUGCACAAUGGGCGAAAGCCUGAUGCAGCGACGCCGCGUGAGCGAAGAAGUAUUUCGGGAUGUAAAGCUCUAUCAGCAGGGAAGAUAAUGACGGUACCUGACGAAGAAGCACCGGCUAAAUACGUG
rnacentral:rRNA from 1 species